rnacentral:rRNA from 1 species
UACGUAGGGACCAAGCGUUGUCCGGAAUCAUUGGGCGUAAAGCGCGCGUAGGCGGCCAGGUAGGUCUGCUGUGAAAACUCGAGGCUCAACCUCGAGACGUCGGCGGAAACCAUCUGGCUAGAGUCCGGAAGAGGAGAGUGGAAUUCCCGGUGUAGCGGUGAAAUGCGCAGAUAUCGGGAAGAACACCCGUGGCGAAGGCGGUUCUCUGGGACGGUACUGACGCUGAGACGCGAAAGCGUGGGGAGCGAACAGG